rnacentral:lncRNA from 1 species
GUCAGUGAGCUAUUUAUUGCCGCCAAUAGCGCUUCGCUUGCAUGCAAGGCGGCACGCCAGGUAGAGCUAUCGCUAAGGGCGAAGGAGAUGCAUUUCUGUACUGGUAGUACUGGACAAGCUCUCAGGGAAUAAUCUCUUUCUUAUUUCUGCCUUUCUUUCCCAUGACGACUAGGAACAGGCAAAUCAAAAAUUUCACUUCGAAUUUCGGACCUCAACAUCCUGCUGCUCAUGGUGUCUGGAAGGAAAAUGGGGAGAAUAAGGGAUAGAGAAAGACGAAGGCUGUUCAUCUCAGCUUGCUUUUCUUUUUUUUAAUUUCAUUUUUUUCGAAGUAACUGUUCUUUGUUUUCCCCUAGAAUGUCACUUCUUUUUCUCUUGGAAAAUUUGCAGAGAGACAGACUAAUUCUUUUUAUUUGGUGUUCCUCAAAAUUUGAAAGUUUUUUCCUUUUUAAAGUCAAAAUUCUAAUAUUUCUUCUUUUUUGGAUUAUUUGAUUUUCUAAUUAGAAACUUGAAUCAACAAUAGGUCAAAGGAGGUGGAAAUGAAAAGGAAGUGAAGAAGAGAGAACGGGAAUCUUUGAGUAACUUGGCUCAUGGAAACCAUCCAGAAGGGUUCCCUUUUUUCUAAAUUAAGCUAACUGAACAUGAACAUAUUAUUAGAAAGUAUUAUCCCAAGAACAAAGGUCAUCUGACAUAUAUUGAUCUAAUUAGUAAUUCUCCUGUGAUUAUUAGAGAGGUAGAACAUUAUGAUCGCGGAAGCUUGUGUGGCACAUUUGAUCUGAGUGUAAAUUACUAUUCUAUUACUGUUGAAAUCGUACAUAUCCUUGGUUGUUUUUAAGAUUUUAAAGCACAAUUUCUUGUGGUCUACCUCAUUGUUCUCUUUGGUUGCAUCCCUUAUAAUUUUAUAUGUUUGUAUGUUUUAUAUGAUUCAGUCUAUAUUGGAGGAAAUUUCAUCUACAUGGAUGAAUGUUUCUUUAAGAAUGAAAGAUGACCCAGAAACCGAUAAGGCAUUAGGAUACGUGUUAGAAAUGUGAGAAACUUUUUACUAAUUUUGUCUUUAUUUUAUUCUUUUGCUUGAUAUGGCCUUUCACAUAGGUGAUCAUUUGAUUGAACUUAGGUAUGCAUAUGUUGUGGCAACAGCACUGCAUGGCGUGUGCUAUUUACUUCGUAAAGACUUCAUGCCCCAAGUUCUAACAAUACAUUAUGGGUCUUCCUUUUUUCCCUCAAUGACUUUUAACCAGCAGUUGAAAUUUAACUUCAGUUUUUGUUUGUUAUCAACCACCAUAGGAUUUGGAAGUAGGGAAGAAAUUUAUAAUCUAUUAUACUUAUGGAUGAGACUACAAUUUAAAGGUACAAGGAUCUUUCUUUCUAAUUUGUUAUAUUUAAAGACUAAUGUGUAAGCUGUAAUUUUUUACCUCUUUAAGAUAAUUUUGCCUUCCUAGCCAUAUUUUAUACCAUAAGUUCUUCACUCUACGUCGGCAUUACAAGGAGAAUUAAUAUAUGGAAAGAUUGGAGAAUGGCGUUUUGACAAGUGAUUAUAUCUUAGUAGGCCUCAACCAAGAAACCUCUCUUUGCUUCCUUCAAGUGUUCUUAAAAGUGUGAUAAGUUCAUUGAUAAGUUUCAUUUUCUAGGGAUCCUUUGGGAAAUUAUAAAUACAGGCCACCUAGUAAAAAUAGAAGUUGAUAGAUUGAUCAUUAAGUAAAAAAAUUCGAACCACACCCCAGAGUGAAUUUUUUUAGUUACUGUACCCAAAAGCAAGAUGCAGUUAAAGGCUGUAAUUAGUGUCUCAAUCAUUAUUGGUUCAUCAAAUAGCUUUGUAUUUUAUACUCAGUUCAAAUUACGUUGCAAAUGCUUUAAUCUUCAUUGCGUAGACUGAACAUUAUUUGGGAAAUUCAAAAUUCAAAAUUACAGCUUGAUUUCCUCAUCAUUAUUAGCUUUAGUUAUCAACUCAAUGUGAUUGGGAAUUGAUGACAUUAAGUUGGUGAUAAUCAAUGUCAUAAAUACUACUAAAGUAGCAGCUUGGAACUCAUAUUUUGCCAUUGCCUCUAGAAGCAAUAGCAUAAUCAGUCAAUCGCCCUUAGGUUUUGCUAUUUGCUUUACCAUUAGGACAGUGUUCCCUUUUUUGUUCACUAUAUUUUAGUUAUUUUAAUUUGUAAAUUUAAUAAGUUUAAUAUUUUAUUGGCCUAGAAUGCAAACUUUAUUUUUUAUGUAAUUUUCCUUUCUUUAAAAUUGAAUUAUAUAAUUCUUGACUGUAGGAAGUGAAUUUAUUUCGGUUGAGUUUGUUGAAACUUGCUUUGAUGCAUAAUUUUUUUUUUGGUUAUUUACUUUUUCAACUGAAAUUUAAGGUUUAGUUUUGAAAAGAUGAGACAUUGUAGAGAAGGUCUCAUUGAUUUGUAUGAGGUUUAUAAAUGUGGUGAUUACUUAGCUUGCAAUUGCAAAAACUGUAACUCCCCCGACUUUGUGGGCAUUUUUGUUGUUGUUGGAAUAGGCCUCAUUUUAACAUUUUUUAAUUACUAUUGUUAAAAGGCAUGGUUUGUUGAAUUUGAAGUCAAUGUGUUGAAGUUUCUAACAAUUCCAAAAUCCAAAUUAAACAACUGGUACGUUUUCCUAAGUCAUUAAUGGAGCCUAUGCUAUGUAAUUAGAAAAAAAUAAAAGAUGAUAAAAUGCAGCUGAAGUUUUUAGUUCAACUUUACCACUGGCCAUAACAGUUGCAGUAUCUUCAUAAUUAAGCUACUUAUUAAUGAGUAGAUUAUUUUGGAAGGUUUUUAGUCUCUUGGUAUAUGUAUGAGUGUCACGAACUUAAGGAAGAGUCUUGAAUCUCACAUUGAACAUAAUAAGAGGUUCACUGGGGUAUAAAAGGGUUCACACCACUUCUUCCUUGUGAGGCGUCUUCUGUAGGACAAAAUUGUGAGGUUGGGGGGCCAGAGCGGACAAUACCUCAUAAGGGUGUGAAUCGUGGCAGUUAAGCUGAUCCGGGACAUCGGAUGGGUGAAUGUCCGGGUCCCGGAGUCGUGUGGGUUUGGAGCUUAAGUCUCGACCCGUGACAAGUGGUAUCAGAGCUAGCCCUAAACCGUUCGAUCCAUGUCGAGCGCCUGAGUGAGGUAGGUAGGGUGGCCAGCCUCCAUGACGAAAGCGUCAUGAGGUUGGGUGGGGGAAAAUGUCACGGACCUAAGGAAGAGUCAUAAAUCUCACAUUGAACAUAAUAGGAGGGUUACUGGGUAUAAAAGAGUUUACACCACUUUUUUUAGGAUAAAACUUGUGAGGGUCAGGGGGUCAGUGAGCGGACAAUACCUCAAGGGUGAACUGUGACAGUAGGUUGAUUUGGGAUGUCGGAUGAGUGAAUGCCCGAUCCGAAAUCGUGCGGUUUUUGAAACUUAAGUCUCGACCCGUGACAUGAGAAAGUAGGUAAAGUCAUGGGAAUAUAGAAUUCAUACCCAAAGGAUCUAGAACUGUCAGUGCAUGAGGUUAACAAAAUCAUUUAUAGUAUUGAGGACUUUUUGUUCUCGAAAGGCCAGGUCUAAUGAUCUAAUGAAAAUGGUGACUGCAGAAAUCGGGCUAUGAUUGAUGGAGGUGUAGAUUACAGCUUUGAAUGUGCUGGAAACCUUGAGGUUCUUUUUUGUCUACUUAUACCGUUAAGUCCUUUUCUAUUACUCUUUGCCUCUGGUUUUUUAGUUUCAUUUUGUUAAUAUAAAAAGAAUAAAAUUUUUUAUUUUUCUUACCAUUAAUAAAGCCUUGCAUAUUAGAUUACAAGAAUGAAUGUAAACGGAUUUGAAGGGCAUCAUUUUGGAUAUACAGGAAUGGGGAUUGACUGUACUAUUGGGAAGUCACCCAUGCCCAAUGUUGCUACCUCUCCAUCAAAUUGAGUAAUUUAACGGGCGUCAAAUCUUAUGAUCGAUCUUUGGAGGCUUCUAAGGCAAAACCCGACUACCAAAGUUUGCCAAACAAUGCAUGUGUGGGGUAAGUUAAUGAUCAAGCUCUGGUACUUUCUUUGUAUAUAGUUGAGUUUUUUAAGUCCAAUGCCAUUAAAUUUACAUUGUUGUCAUGGUUAAAAAAUUACUAAUAUAUGUUUGCAGUUGUUUCUGUAAGUUAGGAAAGAUGAUCAUAUAUGUUGGUUCUCAGUUGUGGCUGCAAUCAUAUCUUCUACCUAUUUUUGCGUUGCUCUUGGUUUUGAAAUUGUUAAAGUUGCACACACACACACAUAUACAUUUAUUAGUUUUUGGACAACUAAUUUUUUAAGCAUGGAGAUUAAAAUUUUGAUCUUAAACUGAAGUUUGGUGUUCAUUUUGGUCAGUUAUUAAAACUCUUGAUCUGAUGCUUAUUGGAAUAAGCAUAAGAAGAGUAACAUAAGCCAAAAAAAAUGGAGCUUCCAAAUUCAAACUAAUCCUACUUUAGUUAGCUAGAUUAUUUUAGUUAAGUUUCUUAUAAAAAUAUGAUAUGUAUAGUUUACAAAUUGUGAUUGAUUCAAUAAAAUUUAUUAUAUCUUACUUUUCUUUGAUGCAUAAAUUCUUAGAUUGACUUUGUUUUAAUUAUUUUUUCUUAGUAUACUUUUUUUUCAAUAAAAUAAAAAUAUUAUAUAUUUCAAAAUUUUAAUUAUGCUAAAUAAAAACACUUAUGGUGAAGCACGGGCAUCAUACUAUUGUUAAUAAAAGUCUUUACCUUAAUUCGUACACAAUAUUUCUAAUAUCUUUGAAAACAAUUUUAUGAUAUUAUUUUGAUACAAGUUUGCCAUUUCUGAGAUCAAAUUAAACAAAAUUUUUUUAUUUUGUAUUUGUUUGAAUACGAAUUAAGUUAAAUGGAAUCAAACUAAUUAAUACAUUCACAUAAACAUUAUCUAAUUUUUAAUAUGAGUUGAAUUAGAAUUUUAUUUCUCAUAUAAUUUCACAUAAGUACUAUAGGAAGCAUAUUACUAAAAAGAUUGAGAUAUGUGAUAUAUAAAUAAACACAUAUUGGUAAAAAUUAAUAACAAGUAUUAUUCUCAAUUACUCUAAUAAUAACUUUCUAAAACUUUCUCUUACUUAAUUUUUGACUAUUUACAUUACUAGAAAAAACUUACAUGAAGUUUUUUUUUGGUGAAUUUAUGUGAAGUUUGUAAAGUUCUUUCUUAAAAAUGAUUUAGUAAAAACUUUAAUAAAAAAUCCAAAUUGAUAAACUAAUAGAGUUCAAUGUAAACAAUUAAUAAUAUAUGCAAAAAUUAUUAAAAAUAUUAUUUAUAAUUUAAAUUUGAUCGAUACUUAUUCAAUAGUAAAAAUUCUAUCAAUAUUUUUACUAAAAAUGUUAAAAAUUCUAUCAACAUUUUUACUAAAAUUGUCUAUAUAAAAAAUAUAUCAAAAUUUAUUAAUUUUUUUUUCAAAAUUUGCACACUUAAUCUAUGUAACAAGAAUUUUUAAUAUAUCAAUUUAUAUUAUAGAUUUUAGUUUUUAUAUAAUUGUUUUUAAUAUAAAACUUAGCAUAAAAAAUUUCCUCUAAAUCUUUCUCCUAUAUUACUACAUAGAAUCAUACGAAAAUAGAAUAAGAAAUAGAUCCUAGAGGUUUGUAAAAAAGUAAUAAAUAAAUUGAUUUGGAAAUCCAAAUUAUCAUGAAGCAUAUAAUCUUAAGUCUAAUAUUACUAGAUUAUUCACAUUGUAGAAGUCUUUGGAGUUAAAGUAAUACUAACUAGCAGCAAAAAAAGGGUUUUUUUUAAUGUAUUUAUGUCAAACCAAAUCUUUGACAAUAUUAAACAAUCAGCCUAUUCCUAAUUAUUAGCUUGAAGCCUUGAACCAUUGAACCUUGACACGAUUAAGAAUGAUUAUAAAGCAAAUUUGUGUUACUAUUUCAAAGAUGAUUUUCACUUUUAGCCACUGCAUUACCAAACAUUUCCCAUAAAUUUCCCCCUUUCAUAAGUCCUAACUACUAAGUAGAAACUUUUCACCAUAAAGUUGUCAGGGUUGGACUACAGCCUACUAGGGUGUAAUUGGAUUGAAUCAAAUUAAUAUAGUAAAAAAGUUGAACUCAAACUCGAUUUGAAAUUCAUUGUUCGAAAUUUGUUGCUCAAAAUUUAAUUUGAGUUCGAUCAAAUUUUGAUUUUCAAACUUGAGUUCAACUUGAAAUAAAUAUCAAGUUACUUAAGUUCUCUCUCGAUUAGACUCGUUUACUAAAUAAAAAAGAGCUCAAUUUCAAAUCUUCAUUGUAAGCUUGAUUAUUUAUGUUUGAACUUAAGUUUGUACUCGAAUUGAUAUACAUAUAUAACGAUAAAAAAUAAUUUUCUAAUUAAAAUAACAAAUAUAUGUUAAAAUAUAAAAGUUUUAAUAGGAUCGCGAACUAUUUAAGUCAAACAUUAAAAUAUCGAACUCGGCUCGCUCAAUAAGUUGAGCUACUCGACUUUGGCUCAAUAAUAAUUGAACAAAUUUUGAGUUUUAUCCAAAUCAAAACUUAAAAGAGUUUAUGAAUAUUGAUAUAUCAUUUGCAUUCUUAAAACCUACCAUAUUCAGGUUAUUGCUGGGCCAAGCACCAAUUCAAAAUGUCUAUGUUGGGUUAAACUAAGACCCUUGUAUAGCUAAAGUUAAUUUCCACAAAUUCCUUACUAAUUCAGCAACAACAUCCAAAACAUAAGGUUGCAGCUCCCAAAUUUAACAUUUUGCUUAUAAGAGUUGGCUCAACUCAAAGCCCUCAAAUCAUGUACCAACUUUUCCUUUUUGUUUUACUAUCAUUUUUUUUUCAUUUGAGAAAACAUCUAUAUUCUUCUUAUUUUGGUUCAUCUCGUGCAACUUUACUGAUGCACUACUAGCUUCACCAAUCACCACUUUUACAUAUUGUUGUUGGUGAACCAUAAAAAAAAUGUUCACACAAACAAAAAUUGUCAAUCUUUAAGUAAUGCAAAGUGUCAAUGGGGCCUUAAACCAAUGAUAGACCCCUAUAGCCACUAAGUAAAAAGGCUUAGCACUAAUGACAAUAUUCGUCAACUAUGGACUGCUUAUGUUUGGUAUCUUUUUAAGGAAGGCACCUGAUUUUCAUUGAAUGGUAUUAGAGCGAGGGGAUAGUACCUCGUUGAAUUAUCUUCCCUCGUUGAAUGGUAUUAAAGUUUCAACCUUAUUUAGUUUGUUAGUUUUUUGGUGUCAUCUUCUUGUUGUUGUCAUCUCUUUGUUGAAUGGUAUUAGAGUUUUCUUGAGGUAUAUAGAAUAAAAAAACUAAUAUAUUAUUAGACUGGUGGAAUUAGAUAACCAAAACUUCUUUCUCAUGAAUAUGUUAAACACUAUUGAUUCACAACCUUCAACCUCUAGAUCUUUUUUUUCUUUACCUUAUCCUGUAUUUAAAGAAUCAUUUUCUUCUAAAUUAAAUGUCCUUUAUGAAAUUAAUUGUAUCCCAAAAAAUAAAAAAAAUCCAAGAAACAUAACUUCCUCUUGUAAAUCCUUAUAAUGCUUUCUCUAGAUCUCCUACUUCUUUAGUUAUAUCCAUAAAAACCCUUCUCAAACAAAAAUGUAAAGCUCUAAAAGAAUAAGUUCAAGCUUCUAAGUUUGAUUAAUGUAUUCUUCUAGUAGGAUCUUAUGAGCACUUUGUUACUCUUAAGAUUUCUUUAGAAUUUCUAGAAUAGUGGAUAGAACAAAGAGACACCCAUAUCCACUUUGGUGUUAUUAGAAUAGCAUUAAGUUUUUAUAGGCUAAAUGGUAAUCCUAUUUGGACCAAGAUGGCUUUACUGUAUACAAGGUUUAAAGACUAUAAGCAUGCAAUAUUUGACAUAAUUGAGAUGACUUUAAAUGUGAGAAUUGUUUCUACACAGUAUUUCCUAACUACAACAUGUCUCUACAAUAUCAUACUCUUUAAAUGCUCUAAAAGUUUAAGUUUAGUUUGUUGGAACUCAGAAGAAAGAAUUUCAGGCAACUCUUCACUAUUAGAUGGCUUACAGAAUCCAAGAUCAUGCCAUAAACCUCCAUUUGCUUGACAUUGGCAGUGUAGUCUUUGUAAAGUUAAAAGUUGUAGACAAGAGCCCCAGAUGCAUUUACAUUCUAAAAUAGAUUUUAAAUGAAGAUUUCGCUACCCUGCUUUUUCAGUUAUGGACAACAAGUUACCAAAAGCUUUGGAACUAGAAUGUACCCAUCGAACACUUUAAUCUUUGCUACACCAUAAACCUAGAUGGUACUAUCACAAUCAAAUUUGAUCAUAAUAAGCAAAAAGAAACCCCUACUCUAGCCUUUGUCUUUCCAACAUAGUUUAUGAUGCAACCAUGUCAACUAGAGCCAAAUGUAGUAGUUACACACUUUAAGCCUAAUGGAUUACUUGUAUAUACAUAUAGAUCUCCAGAAAAACAUUACUAUUGAGACAUUGAUUGUAGUUGCAAAAGAUGCCAGAUGGAAAGACAUAGAAGUUUAUUUGACGAUCACUAUAAUAAUUAAAAAAAAAACAAGACGCAAAUCUUUCAGCAAAAGUUGAAAGAAAGAUUUGAAAAUGGAGACCUUAAAGUAAAUAUCCUUGGCAAACCUUUGAGAAAGUUUGAUUAUUAUGUCAUUUAUCCCAAAGACAAGAAGCUAGACAUCCCUUAGUCAAAUUGUUCAAACCAAAAACCUGAAAAGCCAAAACCUUGACCAAAAAUACCCUUACCUUGUUAUGCUGUUAGUUUUGCUUACAUUGCUAAAAAAUAUUCAGAAAAAGCCAAGCUCUAAAAAACUAUAAAUAAUAAGUCAACAAUGUUGUUCUAGAUGUUUCUCCUAAACCUUUUUUUCAAAUUUGUAUGAUGUAGCCAAUAAGAUCUUCUGAUUCUUAUGAUGCAAAAUUUCUUUUUUUUUUCUAGGAAUUCAUAAAAGAUCAAUAUAAGUACAUCCCAAAAAUCUCAAAUAGCUAAUUGAAUGCAACAAUGGUUACACUUAUUCCUUUGUUGAAAGCAAAAGAGAAAUGAAAAGCCUCAAGCUUCAACUAGCAGGUAUCAAAAAUCAACUUUGUCAUAAACAACAAUAACAAGCCUCAAGUUCAAAUAUCUUUGCCCUAGUAAACAUUGGAAUGCAUGAUAUUCCUUACCAAGCAUACACUCCACAUUCACCUCCAAAACCUUUCUUCACCCCAUUCUAAUACAAAACUAAACUAAGCACAUUAGUGUUCACACCCCUAAUCUACAACCAUUACCUUAUACCCUUAGAUAAUAUUUUUUACGCCCAUUUCGGAACAACCAUUCUUUACUCCCCCUUUAAAUAAAUAAAUAUAUUUAGAUAAAAAAUAGUCAAUUGAACAGAAACCUAAAAAUGCAAAACAACCACUUCUUUAAUUUUCAAAACCAAAAACAGUCGCAACCACAGUUGCAAUUUUAUUUACCCUCAUUUCUGAAAACUCAACUGGUGAUUCUUCUAAACCAUUAUCCCAGGUUAUGAUUUCUUCCACACCAAACAUCUUUCCUAGAAUUUUCUAGUAAAUGGCACAAGAAAAUCUUCUUCAGUUUUUAAUUGAAGGCAUUUUUCCUACUAGAGAUGUAUAAGAUACUUCUAUGAUGGACUUUGAUGAAGUAUUUUUUGAUGAUGAGACUAAUAGUGUCAUCCAAUAGAUCUUCAUAAUAGAACUAAUAGUUGAAAUCCUAGAUGACAAUCUAGUAGUUCAUAACCUAGAAUAAAUGGAUAGUGAUCAAGAACUUCUUUCUUUUUUUUUUUUUUUUUAAGCUCAUAAUUCCUUAUCAUUAUCCAGAUUCUCAGUGUUCACAAUUGAUGACUUUCUUACAUCCAAAUGGCAUUCAAGAUUCCAAGAAUUUUUUCCAUAGGGGUAGUUGAAUUGAAUUCUAAUCCUAACAUCAAAAUGCUGAUAGUUUUAAUAUGUUUUGUUUCAAGGCUGGUUGAAACCUUCAAUAACUUUUAGGAUAAUAUUGGUGAAUAUAGAUGGUUACAGUUUCUUCAAUGCCAUAUAAUUACAAAAGCUGUAUAUUAGUUUUUAGCAAUAUUUUGUGGCUAAGAAACUUAUCGAAUGGAUAAGAUUAAAGAGUAAUUUUUCAAGUUAAAAUACUGUUCACUCAAUCCAAAAGAUCUUGACAAACGCUACCAACAAUUUUUUUAGUAUUUUUAUCUGCUUGGUGGAUUGGAUGAUGUUAAUCUGAAACAAGCUUUCUUCAACUCAGUUUCAGAAGAUCUUGCUUAAUAGAUAAGAACUCAACUCAAUCUUAGAUCUCUUGAUUUGAAAAGCAUGAACCUUAGUGACAUUUACAAGGUUAUAAUGAAAGCUUUUGACAAGAUUUAUGAAGAGCACAAGUACAUUAUAGACUUUGUGAACAAUUACAGAAAAAUAGAUAGACUAUGUUCUUAUUCUUCAAUUGGUUACAGAUCAAAUUUUUUGAAAAAAGCUCAUCAUAUUUUUGUUAUUAGAAGAAGAAAAAACAAUUCAAAAAGUUCAAUGUGUUUAGACGCCUCAAAAGCUAUAAUUUUUCAAACACAAGAAACUUUCCAAAAAGCUUAAAAGAUUUCAAAGAUUCAAGUUAGGUAGAAAGAAAAGAGACUAAAAGAAAAAAAAGGUAACAAAUUUUUUUUUAUGGAAAAUCAAGUUAUUUUGCAAAGAACAAUCCAAAAUCUGAUGAGAAAUCCAUUAAGAUGAUACAGGAUAUUGCAAAUAUCAAGCUUCCUUAAUGGUCUUAGAAAUAGACACAAUCAGUAAAGAUGCUCAAGGUCAAGUUAAAGUUUAUUUUAGCCUUGAAGAUUCCCUCAGAUAUCAAAAGAAUCUUAUAGACUGAUGAAAGUGAUAAAUUUUAAUCCAUGAUUCUCUUUAAAGGAAAAGAUGAAAAAAGAUAGAUAUGUGGAUACAAAAGUAGCAAAUUCAAAUUGUAGACACCCAAUCAGGUCCGGGCCCGGAUCAAUUGGGCCUGACCCGGAUCAAUUGGGCCUGACCCAGAUCAUUUGGGCCUGGCCCAAAUGGGCAAGGCCCAAUUGAAUUUUUACCCGUAUUUUUUAUUUUUUAUUUUUAUUUUUUUUUCUCUCUUGUGUAUUUUAUUAUUUAUUAUUAUGUAUUAAUAUAUGUAUAUAUAUAUAUAUAUAUUUUUUUUCAUUAGAAUAGAUUUAUAUGUAUAUAGUUAUAUAUUUAUUAUUAUUAUAUUAUUAUUCUUAUCUUUUUUUUAAUUAUCUGUUCUGAUUUUUUCUGAUUUUCAGAUAUUAUUUGAAAAUUUUUUGUCUUUUGAUUUAUCUUUCCAAUUAUCUAGAUUUUUUUUUUAAUUUUAUUUUAAUUUUUAUUUUGGAGGGCUAGGAUUCAAAGUUGAAGACUCCCACUCUGAAGGGGAAUUCAAUCAGAAGAGUCCAAUUGGAUUCAAAGACUGAAUUCCCGUCCAAAGAGGAAUUGGGAUUGAUCAGAAACUCCUGAUCAAUCCCUAUAAAAAGGACCCCCCUGGAACAGUCAAGAACACACAGAAAACAGAAGCAAAAGCUACUGAUUGAGAGAAUAGGGGUGUUUAGAGAGCUAAGGAAAAGUUUAGGAGUGUUCUGGCAGUGAGAAAAAUUUUUUAGAAAAAUUUGGCGAAAAAAUUUUCUAGAAAUUUCCAGAUUCCGGCGAAAAUUCCGGCGACUUUUGAAUUUUUCGGCGACAAUUCCGGCGAACUUUGAAGUUUCCGGCGACAGACCCAGUUUCCGGCGGAGAAUCCCAGAAACCGGCGACCAUCCGGCCAAUUUCCGGCGAAAUUCCCAGAUUCCGGCGAAAUUUCCAGAAUCCGGCACCGGCGUUCUUCAAAUUCUAGAGAGAAGGCAGAG